GCCACUCAUAACUCCGAAAAAAACUCGCUUCAAUAAAACCCAAAUCUUCAAUUCAACCAAAUUCUUCGAUUUCCCACUUUUGGGUGCCACAAUAUACUGUGACUGAAGAAGUCACUGUACCGCAGAUUUACUCGAAAUUAUUUGUAUUCAGUAGUCGCCGGAAAAAUGAGACGGAGGAACUCGGAUUUCCGGCGGCCAGUGAGGCGGCGAUUCUCCAAUGUUUUUUGGUUAACUUUGUGUGGAUUGGUCGUAUUGCUGCUCAUUAUUUUGCUCAGCAGAACAACUCGCGAUUCAUCGUCUAGAUUGGUUUAUACAAAGAGACCUUAUAGGCAUGACAGAAUUGCAGAUGGUCUCAACAUUACUGAAGAAAUGCUGAGGCCUGAAUCGAUGACAAGACAAAUUAAUGAUCAGAUUUCUCUUGCAAAAGCAAUUCUUGUAAUUGCAAAAGAAAGCAACAACCUUCAAUUUGCAUGGGAACUAAGUGCUCAAAUCCGUAACUCACAGAUGCUUCUUUCUAAUGCUGCUUCAAGAAGAAGCCCCUUGACAAACGGAGAAUCAGAAAGUGCAAUUCGAGAUAUGGCACUUCUACUCUACCAAGCCCAGCAACUUCACUAUGACAGUGCAACCAUGUUUAUGAGACUGAAAGCUAAAAUCCAAAGCCUUGAAGAACAGGCAAAUUCCUUCAGUGAGAAGAGUUCAAAAUAUGGACAAAUUGCUGCUGAAGAAGUCCCUAAAAGUCUCUAUUGCCUUGGUGUCCGGUUAACAGCUGAAUGGUUCAGAAGUUCCAAUUUGCAGAAACAAUUCAAGGAAGAAAAGCAAGCAGCUGCCAAACUUGUGGACACUGGUUUGUAUCAUUUCUGUGUAUUCUCAGACAACAUCCUUGCAACUUCGGUUGUGGUGAAUUCAACGGCUAUGAAUUCCAAGAAUCCUGAUAUGGUGGUCUUCCACCUCGUAACAGAUGAGGUGAACUAUGCUGCCAUGAAGGCAUGGUUCACCAUGAACAGUUUCCGAGGAGUGACUGUUGUUGUACAAAAGAUUGAAGAGUUUAGUUGGUUAAAUGCUUCGUAUGUACCUGUUCUAAAACAACUUCAAGACUCUGACACCCAGAACUACUACUUUUCUGGCAACCAUGAUAACAGCCGUACUCCGAUCAAAUUCAGAAACCCUAAAUAUCUAUCAAUGCUUAACCAUCUGAGAUUCUAUAUUCCAGAAGUUUUUCCUGCACUUAAGAAGGUUGUGUUUCUCGAUGAUGAUGUUGUAGUGCAGAAGGAUCUUUCAGCCCUAUUCACCACAGAUUUGAAUGGCAAUGUAAAUGGUGCAGUGGAGACUUGU
rnacentral:misc_RNA from 1 species